GCGGGGCCUGGACCUGCUCCCUCCCCUCUCCGCUCCCUCCCUUUCUCUCCCUGGCUUUGGGCGCUCCCCACUGCAAACCGGCUUGGGUUUCCUCGGCGCCUUUUAACUCUUUCUUCGCUGAGCCCUGGGCAGCAAACUGCAGGGAGCACAGAUUGCACCCUGUGUAAAGGGUGGGCAGGCAGCAGGGCAGUGUCCCACCAUGAGCAUCUCAAGGUGUCCCUGGAAAACAUUUUGUUUUCCACAGCAGGCUCCCCUGCAGAGCUGCCUUGCUGGUAAGCUGAGACUCCAUGCAUCAAAAUGAUGUCUCCUUGGCGCACUUGCUCGGUGCUGGCAUUGCAGUGCUUGGGCUCUUCAGAGAUGUAGGUAUUUUAAGAAGCCACUCAGUCGGUGGAGUUUCUUGAGUGGUGACUUGCAGCAGAUGGAGCUCAAAGGUGUGCAAAAUGAAGUCUCGGCUCAAUUCAGUGGUGAAGGAGAGUCUCUGGUAAGUGUGUUCGCAGCCAGGGAACUCCCUGUCUCCCCACAGCAGCUGGGUAGCCACCUUGUGGAGAAGGAAACCCUUCCUAUACCUGCACGCCACCAUCUGAGCUGCCUCCUGCAAGGUCAUCAUUCACUGUCACAUAUAUUCUUCACUGCCUGGUCUUCAGCCAUGAACAAUGCUACAUUCUUCCCAGCUAAUAGCAUUUCUCCUCUGUCCUGCAGGGCUUUCUGCACCAGUGGUGCCCAGCAUUCACCUUGUCCUGCUCCUCCCUCCAAGAGGAGCAACACAGACCCCCAUUUAAAGUGCUCAUCUAGUUGAUCACUCAGUAGCCAGGCCUUUUAAUGUUCUUACUGCUUGUUGCUCUGUGUAGAGGGAGGAGCUUUUGCAGUUCAUCUUCAUUCUGCUAGGAUUUCCUGACUGCUUC